UUUCUGUGAAUGGUGGACAAAUUAACUCUUUCUUCCAUCCUGAAUAUACUGAAGAAAACUGGAAACCCUGGAAGGCUGGGAUCACCAAGUAGGGGAAGUGCAGAAUAGUCUGACCAUUUUGGGGUAAUCUGGAACAUCGGUAGGAGAAGGAUAGUUCAUAGCUUUGCCCAGUUUGUCACAGGACUUUCUAGAGUUACCCCAGUAUUUUUAAUUGAGGACUUGGAAUGCAGAGAGUUUGCAACAAAAGUAUAUCUCAAGUCUGGUCUUAACUAACAAACAGAUCCCAGCUAUAAACCCAAUCUCCACAUGAAUGUUUAUAGCAACUUUAUUCCUAAUUGCCAAAAACAGGAAGCAAGCAAGAUGUACUUCAAUAGGGUUAAGGAUCCUUUACAUGCGGUACUCCUAAGGUUGUGACUUACCACAUUGUGAGCUCCACUCUCACUGAUUGCUAGAUCAGAAGUGGAGCCAGCCUUGGUCACAUGCAGCGUUGAACUAGCUCUCCCCAACGUCCAUCAUUCUUGGCCCUGAUCCCUACUCCAGCCAUCCUGCUGUUGAUGUUUCUACCAGACGGGCAAUAUCAUGGAUCCUAAAGCAAAACUACUUAAGGAGAGUGAUAGCUGACCUGGAAUGAACAUGUAAUGUGAUGAGGAAUAAACCUUUGUUUGUAAGCCACCGAGACUUGGAGAGAAAGAGAGCACAAGCAAGGGGAGCGGCUACAGAAGGAGAAGCAAGCUCCCCGCUGAGCAGGGAGCUCGAUGCAGGACUCAAUCCCAGGACCCUGGAAUCAUGACCUGAGCUGAAGGCAGAUGCCCAACUGACUGAGCCACCCAGAAAUAAGGAAACUUUUAUUAAAGGAGGGGAAGUUACUUGCCCAGGAUUCCACAACCGGUAAGUGGAAGAGCACAAAUUUGACUUUUAUGAUUUCAUGACUCCAAGUCCAUGUUUUAAAACUCUAUACUGUGCCUCUUCCUUCAAAAAUCAA